UGUNUUAAGAUUAUUAUUUUANAUAAUUUCUGCCCGGUGAUAUUUUUAACGGCCGCAGUACUUUGACUGUGCUAAGGUAGCAUAAUCAAUUGACUUUUAAUUGAGGUCUAGUAUGAAAGAAAAAAAGGGGAAGCUCUGUCUUUUUAGUUAUUUUAUUAACUUGUUUAUAAGGUGAAAAUACCUUUAAAUAGAAAAAGGACGAGAAGACCCUUAGAAUUUUAAAAAAAGUUAUAUUUUAUAAUUUUUUUUUGUUGGGGUGACAGUUUUACAGUAAAACUAAUAUUUAUUUAUAGCCGAUUUAUAUGAAAAAAAAAAUUACCUUAGGGAUAACAGCAUAAUUUUUUUUUAAGAUUGUGACCUCGAUGUUGGACUAGGGACAAAUGAUUAGAAAUCAUAAUGGCUUGUUCUGUUCGAACAAAUUUUCCCU
rnacentral:rRNA from 1 species